CUGUGUGGUUUCCUGGAGAGUCCAGGAUGUAAACUUGAAACUCUGAGAUUGAGUGUCUGUGGUUUGUCAGAGAUCAGCUGUGAUUAUCUGGCAGCAGCGCUGAAGUCCAACCCCUCCCAUCUGAGACAGCUGGAGCUGUACGGAAACAACCUGAAGUAUCCAGAUGUGAAGCAGCUGUCUGAUCUUCAGCAGAGUCCAGACUACAGACUGGAGUGGCUGGUGUGGGGCUGAUGAUGGUAAACAGGACGGUGUGUGUGCUGAGAGAGGAGCAGCUGUGUCCUGA